rnacentral:lncRNA from 1 species
UAACAUCACCAAAAGCCAACAUUAAAGAGUGAUGCAAGUGCUGAACCUCAUCACGUGUCCCGGAACUUACAUUGAGAAUCAAUGACCUCCACAGCACAAAUGCGAACAUUGAAUAUGCAGGGGGGAAUACCAAGUUUAAAGAUAGCAUCCGCUGCAUUCUACAUAGGGACAGAGUUGACGCUUCACACCAACGGUACAUCCGCUGCAUUCUACAUAGGGAAAGAAUUGACGCUUCACCCAAAAGGUCUACAACAAAUCCAUCUGAAACUGUUCUACAGUUCCCUACAAGUACCCUAAACCAGUGGACAGAAACUUCAGCCAGAAUAUCUGCUUUUAGUGUCCCAAC